rnacentral:ncRNA from 1 species
UCCCUGGUUGAUCCUGACAGUAGUCAUAUGCUUGUCUCAAAAAUUAGGCCAUGCAUGUCUCAGUACAAGCCAAAUAAGGUGAAACCGCGAAGGGCUCAUUAAAUCAGUUAUGGCUCCUUAGAUGGUCCCCACAUUUACUUGGACAACUGUGGUAAUUCUAGAGCUAAUACAUGAAAACAGAGCUCCGACCGGAGACGGAAGGAGCGGUUUCGCCGUCAUCGUACAACUUGGUGAAUCUGAAUAACUUUCCGCAGAUCGCACGGUCUCGCACCGGCGACGCAUCUUUCAAAUGACUGCCUUACCGACUGUCGAUGAUAGGUUCUGCGCCUACCAUGGUUGUAACGGGUAACGGGGAAUCAGGGUUCGGUUCCGGAGAGGGAGCCUGAGAAACGGCUACCACAUCCCAGGAAUGUGGUAGCCAAGGAAUGCCAAAAACGCUUUCAUUGAUCAAGAACGAAAGUUAGAGGUUCGAAGGCGAUCGGAUACCGCCCUAGUUCUAACGAUAAACGAUGCCAGCUAGCGAUCCGCCGAUGUUCCUCCGAUGAUUCGGCGGGCAGCUUCCGGGAAACCCAAGCUUUUGGGUUCCGGGGGAAGUAUGGUUGCAAAGCUGAAACUUAAAGGAAUUGCCGGAAGGGCACCACCAGGAGUAGAGCUUGUGGCUUAAUUUGACUCAACACGGGAAACCUCACCA